GAUGAAGAACGUAGCGAAAUGCGAUAAGUAAUGCGAAUUGCAGAAUUCAGUGAGUCAUCGAAUCUUUGUACGCACAUUGCGCCCUGUGGUAUUCCGCAGGGCAUGCCUGUUCGAGCGUCAUUUCAACCCUCAAGCUCUGCUUGGUGUUGGGCCCUGCCCGCUGCGGCCGGCCCUAAAGACAGUGGCGGUGCCGCCUGGCCCUGAGCGUAGUACAUCUCUCGCUCCAGUGCCCGGUGGUAGCCUGCCAGAACCCCAACUCUCGUGGUUGACCUCGGAUCAGGUAGGGAUACCCGCUGAACUUAAGCAUAUCAAUAAGCGGAGGA
rnacentral:misc_RNA from 1 species